GGGGAGAUAAAACAGUCCUGUACGCAGCUGUUGUGAUCCCAGCCGGUUGUGGAGUUUUAUUUCUCAUCUGCAUCAUCAUGUUCAUGUUCAUAAGGAAGAGAAAAAGUGGAUAUGACAUCAGGCAGAAGCAGGUUCAACAUCCUCCCAGCUCUGAGACAAACUACUCUGAUGAUGGUCUGUAUGCCAG